rnacentral:tRNA from 2 species
GCCUGAAUAGCUCAGCAGGUCAGAGCGGCGCCCUCGUAAAGCGCAGGUCGCGGGUCCGAAUCCCGCUUCAGGCU